rnacentral:rRNA from 1 species
AAUGGGGACGAAUUAGCCAUGCUAGUCGCACGAGUUCAGACUCGUGGCGAAUAGCUCAGUAACACGUGGCCAAACUACCCUUCGGAACACAAUACCCUCGGGAAACUGAGGCUAAUAGUGUAUACCAUACCACCACUGGAAUGAGUGGUAUGCCAAACGCUCCGGCGCCGAAGGAUGUGGCUGCGGCCGAUUAGGUAGACGGUGGGGUAACGGCCCACCGUGCCAAUAAUCGGUAUGGGUCAUGAGAGUGAGAACCCAGAGACGGAAUCUGAGACAAGAUUCCGGGCCCUACGGGGCGCAGCAGGCGCGAAACCUUUACACUGCACGACAGUGCGAUAGGGGGAUCCCAAGUGCACAGGCAUAGCGCCUGUGCUUUUCGGUACCCUAAGGCGGUACCAGAAUAAGGGCUGGGCAAGACCGGUGCCAGCCGCCGCGGUAAUACCGGCAGCCCAAGUGAUGGCCGAUCUUAUUGGGCCUAAAGCGUCCGUAGCUGGCCGCGCAAGUCCAUCGGGAAAUCCACCUGCUCAACAGGUGGGCGCCCGGUAGAAACUGCGUGGCUUGGGACCGGAAGGCGCGACGGGUACGUCCGGGGUAGGAGUGAAAUCCCGUAAUCCUGGACGGACCGCCGAUGGCGAAAGCACGUCGCGAGAACGGAUCCGACAGUGAGGGACGAAAGCCAGGGUCUCGAACCGGAUUAGAU